GCCUAGUGGUUAGAGCGUUGGACUAGUAACCAGCAGGUAGCCUAGUGGUUAGAGCGUUGGACUAGUAACCAGCAGGUAGCCUAGUGGUUAGAGCGUUGGACUAGUAACCAGCAGGUAGCCUAGUGGUUAGAGCGUUGGACUAGUAACCAGCAGGUAGGCUAGUGGUUAGAGCGUUGGACUAGUAACCAGCAGGUAGCCUAGUGGUUAGAGCGUUGGACUAGUAACCAGCAGGUAGCCUAGUGGUUAGAGCGUUGGACUAGUAACCAGCAGGUAGGCUAGUGGUUAGAGCGUUGGACUAGUAACCAGCAGGUAGCCUAGUGGUUAGAGCGUUGGACUAGUAACCAGCAGGUAGCCUAGUGGUUAGAGCGUUGGACUAGUAACCAGCAGGUAGCCUAGUGGUUAGAGUGUUGGACUAGUAACCAGCAGGUAGCCUAGUGGUUAGAGCGUUGGACUAGUAACCAGCAGGUAGCCUAGUGGUUAGAGCGUUGGACUAGUAACCAGCAGGUAGCCUAGUGGUUAGAGCGUUGGACUAGUAACCAGCAGGUAGCCUAGUGGUUAGAGUGUUGGACUAGUAACCAGCAGGUAGCCUAGUGGUUAGAGCGUUGGACUAGUAACCAGCAGGUAGCCUAGUGGUUAGAGCGUUGGACUAGUAACCAGCAGGUAGCCUAGUGGUUAGAGCGUUGGACUAGUAACCAGCAGGUAGCCUAGUGGUUAGAGCAUUGGACUA